rnacentral:rRNA from 1 species
CUACUGCUAAUACCGGAUAUGCCGAAAGGUGAAAGAUUUAUUGCCUGGAGAUGAGCUCGCGUCUGAUUAGCUAGUUGGUGAGGUAAGAGCUUACCAAGGCAUCGAUCAGUAGCUGGUCUGAGAGGAUGAUCAGCCACACUGGGACUGAGACACGGCCCAGACUCCUACGGGAGGCAGCAGUGGGGAAUUUUCCGCAAUGGGCGAAAGCCUGACGGAGCAAUACCGCGUGAGGGAGGAAGGCUUUUGGGUUGUAAACCUCUUUUCUUAAGGAAGAACACAAUGACGGUACUUAAGGAAUAAGCAUCGGUUAACUCCGUGCCAGCAGCCGCGGUAAUACGGAGGAUGCAAGCGUUAUCCGGAAUGAUUGGGCGUAAAGCGUCCGCAGGUGGUUUUGUAAGUCUGUUGUUAAAGCGUGAGGCUCAACCUCAUAAUGGCAGUGGAAACUACAAGACUAGAGUACGUUCGGGGCAGAGGGAAUUCCUGGUGUAGCGGUGAAAUGCGUAGAUAUCAGGAAGAACACCGGUGGCGAAAGCGCUCCGUUAGGCCGUAACUGACACUGAGGGACGAAAGCUAGGGGAGCG